ACAUUAUGAAUAUAGUAUUAUAUGUAUUUGGCAGAAAAAGUGAACAUAGCCGCAUAUGGAAUAGUGUGGGUCCGCCAGAAUUUAUGGGUCCUUUUCCUUUGUGUUGGUGCCAAACUUGUGAAAUGAAAAUGGAGUUGUAGCUGGUCACGUCUUAUGGACAACUAAUUAAUAAUAAAGUUAAGCUAAUAAAAUCAUGGAAGCACUGCUUUAACAGCAAAUUAGGUGAAAGAAAGCAACCAAAAACUAGGUAGCCCUCGAUGAAUCACGUUCUGGUUUUCUUGUUUUUUCUUUCUUCAUUCUGCUCCCUUCAAGUCUUCUCUAGCAAACCAAAUUAUUAUUGCUCUUCUUAAAAGCCUAAAUUGUGAUCAAGUCGUUGUGGCUUUUUACCUUUAUCCCUUUGAACAUGUCACUUUAUCAAUCAAAGAGUGUUUGAAUGAAUAUGGUGGUGACAAAGGAAACAUAGCAAAUUGGUUUUCCUCACCUUGUUUAAAGAAAGAGACAUCACGCUUAAUUGUGUAACAAGACAUGGACUUUUUCACUAGUGACAUUGUAAGUAGCUUGUUAUUUCACCAGAAGCACAAGAGCUUAAUUUGAACAGCAUAUCUACAUGCUAAUUUAAUCAGUGUUUGAUAUUUGGUCAUGGUGGAUAUAUAUUGUAGAAUUUUCUGACCUCAAAGGCCACCAAGUCCAUCCCACCCAGAAACUCAGCAAAAUUGAAACAUGAUUGUGACAUGCACAACUAUGAUAUCAUAACUUUUAUAUAAGUGAAGCAUGGUGGGUGAUUUUUUGGGAGUUUGAUAGGGGUAUCUAUAUUUGGAAUGUGAGUUUUAGGAUUCUGUGAGGAAGCAUCCAUUGGGGAAUGACU
rnacentral:lncRNA from 1 species